rnacentral:tRNA from 1 species
GCCGUGGUAGCUAAUUGUCUAGUGCUCAGUUGCUAACUGAAAAGUUGGUGGUUUGAACCCACCCAGCAGCU